CAGACUACGAUGUAUCCAGUGCGUGGUACUUGGCCGGCCAGUUUACCAGAGACCCUCCUACGUUUCACGAAGAAAGGAUAUAAUUAGAAGGAAGUGGUAUAAAGGAGGCUUCGCGCAAUGGAGGUAAAAGGGAAGUUACAUAACUGUUCAGUUAAUACUUCAAUUUCAAUACAGUCUACAUCGCACGUGCACAAGGAUAAAACAGAUGGGAUUUAAAAACAUUUAUCAGUGGCAAAUUCGAUGGACCAUUUUAUCAUCGAAUCGACUAUUUUAAAUUAAAAUAUCUGUAAGGAGCAACGUUCAGGAGAUCUGCCAGAAGUUAGAAAGAAUUUUUUGAAAAUACUCAUAGCUCCUAUGGACACGAAACAAUGAAAUUAGGUAGUAGUUGAAUAGAUCCCAAUAACACUUGUCAAAGGAGUAAAGAUCGCAUAUUGGUUGGAGAAAGUACACGAAAUCAGUUCGCAGCAAGUUCGAUCAGAUGCACAACGUUCUAUGGAAUCCCUGCACGAUCAAAGUCUCACAAGGGAAAAUGAAAAAGAAAGAGCAUGGACAUUUCAUAUGCACCUAACCAAGUAGAAAACCGGAAGAAACUCGAUGCUGCAGUAGUAGGGGUACACGCUUUCAAGAGGGAGUUUGCAAACAUCUCCAUUUUCUCUCAUAUUCCCAUAGCAAGUACUAUGCUGGAAGCAUUAUACUUUAGAAAAAAGAUCGCGAGCCAAGUUCUAACUUCAAUCCCGAUUCUGCGUUACUCCCCGUGGAAUAUGACCCGUUGAGAGAAGAUAUUGAAAUUUCCUGUCGCUAAAAAUCUUAUUCCCAUGAAUGACACAUUGUUGAGAAAUUAUGCGAAACUCGUUCGGCGUCCACCCUCUCCCCUGAAUCGGAUUCUUUUUCCUCUUCUUCCCCUUUGAUAGUCGACUGUCGUCAUUAGGACUUUACAAGCUCGACGCGAACUCUCCGAAGGGAUACGUGCCGGGAAUCACGACUUUAUACGAGCUUCGAGAAGAAAGCUCCUGCGAUUCUAAAGCGAC